rnacentral:rRNA from 1 species
AGUGAACGCUGGCGGUAGGCCUAACACAUGCAAGUCGAACGGCAGCACAGUAAGAGCUUGCUCUUACGGGUGGCGAGUGGCGGACGGGUGAGGAAUACAUCGGAAUCUACUUUUUCGUGGGGGAUAACGUAGGGAAACUUACGCUAAUACCGCAUACGACCUACGGGUGAAAGCAGGGGAUCUUCGGACCUUGCGCGAUUGAAUGAGCCGAUGUCGGAUUAGUUAGUUGGCGGGGUAAAGGCCCACCAAGGCGACGAUCCGUAGCUGGUCUGAGAGGAUGAUCCGCCACACUGGAACUGGGACACGGUCCAGACUCCUACGGGAGGCAGCAGUGGGGAAUAUUGGACAAUGGGCGCAAGCCUGAUCCAGCCAUACCGCGUGGGGUAAGAAGGCCUUCGGGUUCUAAAGCCCUUUUGUUGGGAAAGAAAAGCAUCAGUUUAAUACCCCGCUGUUCUGACGGUACCCAAAGAAUAAGCACCGGCUAACUUCGUG